rnacentral:rRNA from 1 species
GAUGAACGCUGGCGGCGUGCUUAACACAUGCAAGUCGAACGGAAAGGCCCUGCUUUUGUUUGUUGCUCGUGUGGCGAACGCGUGAGUAACACGUGAGUAACCUGCCCUUGUCUUUGGGGUAACUUCAGGAAACUCGGGCUAAUACCGGAUAGGAUCUCCUGCUGCAUGUUGGUGGUUGGAAAGUUUCGGCGGUUCGGGAUGGACUCGCUGCUUAUCAGCUUGUUGGUGUGGUAGUGGCUUACCAGGGCUUUGACGGGUAGCCGGCCUGAGAGGGUGACCGGCCACAUUGGGACUGAGAUACGGCCCAGACUCGUACGGGAGGCAGCAGUGGGGAGUAUUGCACAACGGGCGGAAGCCUGAUGCAGCAACGCCGCGUGCGGGAUGACGGCUUUCGGGUGGUAAACCGCUUUGGCCGGUGACGAAGCGUGAGUGACGGUAAUGGGUAAAGAAGCAACGGCUAACUACGUG